rnacentral:rRNA from 1 species
UACGGAGGAUGCAAGCGUUAUCCGGAAUGAUUGGGCGUAAAGCGUCCGCAGGUGGCAUUGUAAGUCUGCUGUCAAAGCGUCUGGCUCAACCAGAUAAAGGCAGUGGAAACUACAUAGCUAGAGUAAGGUAGGGGUAGAGGGAAUUCCUGGUGUAGCGGUGAAAUGCGUAGAGAUCAGGAAGAACACCGGUGGCGAAAGCGCUCUGCUGGACCUUAACUGACACUGAGGGACGAAAGCUAGGGGAGCGAAUGGG